CUGAUGUACAGUGAAACUUCUCAUUUCUAUUUAAAAUUAAACAUACAUUUCAGUAAAAUGUAUGUGAUUUUUGGAGGCUGUGUCUUGGCCUUCCUUCUAGAGAAAGGGCAGAUAAGCAAAAAUUAAUAAUAAUAAUCUGUUACAUCGGAUCAUAGGAGUCACGUGUGCUUUUACGGCCCGUCCCAUUUUGGGUUUUCACGAAUUGCUGUCACUGAAUCCCAUAAACAUCCCUUGCGUUUGCGAUAUUGUCGCACCUACAUGAAAGGUAUUGUUAAUACGCUGAGUCAAAACACACGUGCCCUCUGCAGGCUACGGUUUUGCUUUGAAAUCUCUGUAAUUAACACAUUCGCGUUUCAGGCACUGGGUAUUAUUGAGUGCAAAGAGACAAAGAUGUAUUUCAUCUUUUUUUUCUACUGAUGAUUCAUCACUUCCACUCCUCCCACCUCCAGAUGUCUACAUUUCAGUUUUCUGAGAGGCUACAAAGCCUGAAGUGGCAUCUGCGCCUUGAGUCAGAGGACACCAAGUGUUCAACUGAAACACCGCCAAGCGUUGGGUGUCAACUCUCUUAACCUGUUUUCCGGUGUAGGCAGCAUUAACAAUGCUCUUUGCCCUUGGGCUCUAAAAGGAAAAGACUCCAGUAACCCUACACCAGCAGCUCCACUUAAGUAACUAACUACCUGAUGCAGGGUUAUCUUUCCAGGCUGUCUGGGGAAGGGAGUGAAAACAUUCGCUUCUGUGUCCCUGGCAAGCUGGUUAAUGCUUGUCAAAGCAACAGCUCCCUGUUCCCCAAGCUCGGUCUCUGAUAUGUAUUUGAAUUUGCAAACUUGUGAUAACCAGAUAAUACCCAGUUGUGUGUUUACUAGUCUAGGAGGCAGCAGAAACACCAGCAGGUCCACUUAAAACACACGUGCACACACACACAGACACAAUCAGACAUGCAACAGCGAAAUAUUCUUUCACACUGCAGUGCCUUAGUUAACUUUCUAGGUGCGUCUACACAAAUUUGAAACACCAUCUCCCUAGCAAUCCCUAGACAGUGAGUUUGGAAACUUCCUCCUCAAUAUUUUCUUUAUCGGUUCAAGUAAGUAGAUUCAUCAACAUUGUCUUGAUUUGCUCAAGCAAAAUAUAUCAAGCAUCCAGAGAGUCACUAAGGAUCUGGUUAAAAGAGCUAUAAGUACUUUUUUUUUUUUAACGGAUUAAGAUUGCCCCUGGCAAUCUUCUUGAGUCUUGACCAGUAGACGCAGCUAAUUAGGUUGAAUAUUCCAGAGAAAUGGAAGUCCCUGCAGAGAGAGAUAAUUCAAGCCAUUCCCGAUUUUGUAAUGAACAUUGUAAAAAAUGAUUUCUUCAUUAUGAGAGGAAGGGGCUGCUCCAAGGGGGUGGAAAUCCGCAAAAAGAGUGCUCCUCGGGUUUUGCAGAGGGAACAUUGUCAACAGUUAAAUAUCCUCGAUAUUUUAAAAACAUUCUUUGAGGAUCAAGCUGUCCAACUCUUCCCAGCCAUUCAUUUUUCAACCCAAGAUCAAAAGUGACAUUUUAAAAGAGGCACAUAAAGAAAGAGGAGAAGAAAUUUCUGCCGUUGAGCAAUUCCAAGGUCUCGUCAACUUGUAUAUAAAUGAGUUCUGUGUAUAAUCUCCCGCUCGUGUAUGACUCGGACCGGAGCUUUCUGCCAGGAAAUAUCUGUGGCCACCGUUAAACAGGAUAUGGCCCAUCUUGCCCGUGGCUCCGCUGGCUCCGAGCAGCACACAGUGCAUUUUUGUCCCGAGGUGGCGGCGGUAAAGUGCACCUUUAUUUGCUGGCUGCUAGUUGGGUUUGGAUGCCCGGUCACACUCUAAGCUGACCACUUUCUGAUGUGGAAUGCUCCCAGAAGAGAACACAGAACAGGCCGGCCUGAGGUCCUCCCCAGAACGCCAUGUAUUUCACUGCAGACAGCAACUCUGUUUCCUAGACAUAUCUGCCCUCCUGGAGACACAGUGGAGUAUAGCCAUCAUCCCCAGGCAGCCAAGUGAAUUCCAAGAGGCCCCGAGCAAACUUCCAAAGGUUCAAGUUACUUUUCCACCUUGCUGGAUAAAAGAGCAUAUUCCAAGUCAAUCCAUGAGUCUAGGGUAUCCUUGCAUCCUAAGAAGUGGCACACUAUCUUUCUAUCUUUCAUUUGAAGUCAUUUUUAUAUCCACCCCAUGUCACUUGCCUCAUUAAGCAUGGAGACUGGAAAGCUGGUUGCCCUCUGGUCAUCUUUUGCCACACAAGGAUCACACCCUAAAUCUGAAUGCACACUGCCUUAGGCAAGUUAUAGGCACAUCCGACCCUCUCUGCCUACUGCACAAGUCCCAAUUCUUUUACUUAAAUUUGAAGAACCUUUACCAUCUUGCCUCAAACUAUCUAAUCCAUGCUGUCUUCUCACUGAUCCUAAACUUGUCAUACUUGUCCCUUCCUCCCUGCCCUUGUUCACCCAGUUUCUGACCUUUGACUUCAAAUGACUUCCUGCUCAGAGUUACUGAUAAUAUUUUUUGGAAUGCUGAAUAUGUGCCCAGUCCUGUGCUGGUCCCUUUGCAUAUUAUCUCACCUGUAUAAUGUGCCAGGAAGGUAAGUAUAUUUAUUCCUGUUAUACUAAACAGAAGACAGAGGCUUGGAGAUCAAAGCAGAUGCUGAGAUGCCUCACUAAGCACUGCCUCUCUUUUCAAGACUGAGAUAACUCAUUCUCCUUGCUGCUGAGGGAGUUGACUGCUGACUUCUCACACUUUCACCCCUUCCAGUUCCUGGAAGGGGGCUGCUGGUUCCUUCUCAGGGGCAGCCUACAUCUAUGUGACUUGGUAUAAGAGUGUAAGGGACUAGACCCCUUGACUCAAUUUGGGACACUUCUAUGGGACCAUCCCUUGUCCAGAGCACCCUGCAGGGUCAGCUAAGCCCUCUGGUGUUACUGCAUCAAGGCUUAACUUCUCCUCUGCCCAGCCUGCUCCCCGCCACCCCUCAUCAGCCUGGCUAUUGAGAGUACUUCCUGCUAAAUCUCCCACACACGGAUCCCAGAAUCUCAGAGUCUAGUUCGUGGGGAAUCCAGCUGGACAAGGAAGGUGGCUUUAUUUGCUCCAAACCAAGACUGAAUGGGCGGAAGCUCUUUCUCAAGCCUCUCCUAACUCCAGGCACCAGGAUGCUGACAUGCCACCAGAGGAAAGUGUGGCCUUGGGGAAUGUGAUUUUCUCUGCCUGCUCUUUUUAUCUUCACCAUCAGCAGCCUGGCUUCCUUGGCAUGGACGCAAGCAUGGUCAUCAAGAUUUCCCAGGUUUCCUGUCCUACAGCUUUCACCACUAUCGACAGACUGCAGAUGUUUCUCGGUUAUAGACCGAAAAGUCCCAGAGAAGAAUGCUGAUUGGCUCCUCCUCAACCACUUGCCCAAUCCUGGAGCUUCCCAGUGUUGCCAGGAGAGCAGAGAUUGUCAGAAAAGUUGAAAUCAUGGCUCUAUCUAUUCUGAAUGCCCUAAUCAGAUAGGAACAAAGGGGGAGAUGGAGAUUUUCUACCCUGACCUGGAUUGGAGUUACACAGGCAACUGCUUUGCAAUUACUUGUUAAUCUAUGCAUUUAUAUUGUAAACAUUUUUCAGUAUGAAUGCUCUAUUUCACGACAGUUGUUUAUUUUUCUUUAAGUUCAGUUCUGGAUCUAAAUGAAAAAACAAAAGUUAUCCAUAAAAAAUAUCCAAUUUUGCUCCUUAAAAAUGAUGUCUUGGGGCGGGGGCGAGGGGGCGCUGCCUCAACUCUGCACCUCCAUUUUUUCCUUUGGUGACAGCAAGUUGAUCAUAGCCCCCAUCGGGCUUGUCCCAAGGAAUAGCUGAGAAAGUGCCUAACAGAGGAUCUUUUAAGUUUUUAAAUAUAUGUAUGUAUGUAUAUUAUAUGCAUAUUAAUACACAGCUGUAGAAGAUGAAAAUAUAAGUCAUUGACAUCAAGGAAAGGAGAGGGAAACGAAUUCUGAAUCAUGUUCCUUAACAGCCCUCUUUUCUUAUUUCUCUAAAAGGGCAGAGGGAGCAGGGGAGGGACUUGGACUCAAGACGAUAUCAUUCAAAUUAACUAAUUUGACAGGAGGAGGAUCCUAAUAACCAGCAAACCCCCAGAUUUCCCAAAGAAGAGCCACCAGGUAGUGUGGGAGUCCCCUGGUAUAUUUGGGAGCCCCAGUGGAAUACAGAGGACUUGAAGAACUCUUUAAUUCCCCUCUCCUUCUGGCCUGAAGAAAAUGAGUCCAGGCUUGGAGAACAGACUUGUGGUUGCCAAGGGGGAGAGGGAGGGAAUGGGAUAGACUGGGAAUCUGGGGUUAACAGAUGCAAACUAUUGCUUUUGGAAUGGACAAGCAAUGAGAUCCUGCCACGUAGCACUGAGAACUGUAUCUGGUGAUGGAACAGGAUGGAGGAUGAUGUGAGAAAAAGAAUGUGUAUGUGUAUGUGUGACCGGGUCACUUUGCUGUCCAGGAGCAAAUUGACAGAACACUGUAAACCAACUAUAAUGGAAAAAAUAAAAAUCAUUAAAAAGAAAGAAAGAAAGAAAAUGAAUCCAGGAAACUUCUAAGUGCAUAAAUAUGACCCAUUGCCCAUUGCAGUAAUCUUUUACACGCAGGAUGCUCAGGAUGGCUCUGGAGCGGAGCUUGGUGGGGCGCCACUUGAUACAGGGCUCCCCGCUGCCUGCCAGAUGGAGAUGGGUCCUCAGGGGAGGUCCGCCCCUAUGGCAAAUGGUUAUCUUUAAACCCAUCCUUCAUUUCCCCUCUUAUCAGCAAAGGAAUGUGGGGAGGUCUCCCAGGCAUUAGCUGUGA